rnacentral:rRNA from 1 species
AUUGAACGCUGGCGGAAUGCUUUACACAUGCAAGUCGAACGGUAGAGGGGGCAACCCCUCGAGAGUGGCGAACGGGUGAGUAAUAUAUCGGAACGUGCCCAGUCGUGGGGGAUAACGUAGCGAAAGUUGCGCUAAUACCGCAUACGAUCUAAGGAUGAAAGUGGGGGAUAGCAAGACCUCGCGCGAUUGGAGCGGCCGAUAUCAGAUUAGGUAGUUGGUGGGGUAAAGGCUCACCAAGCCAACGAUCUGUAGCUGGUCUGAGAGGACGACCAGCCACACUGGAACUGAGACACGGUCCAGACUCCUACGGGAGGCAGCAGUGGGGAAUUUUGGACAAUGGACGCAAGUCUGAUCCAGCCAUUCCGCGUGCAGGAUGAAGGCCCUCGGGUUGUAAACUGCUUUUGUACGGAACGAAAAGGUCUCUCUUAAUACGGGGGACUCAUGACGGUACCGUAAGAAUAAGCACCGGCUAACUACGUGCCAGCAGCCGCGGUAA